UACGUAGGGGGCGAGCGUUGUCCGGAGUUACUGGGCGUAAAGCGCCCGCAGGCGGUCGGUCGCGUUUGAGGUAACAGCUCCUGGCUUCACUGGGAGAGCGUCUCAAAAACGGGCUGACUUGAGGACCAGAGAGGGACACGGAAUUCCGGGUGUAGUGGUGAAAUGCGUAGAUAUCCGGAGGAACACCGAAGGCGCAGGCAGUGUCCUGGCUGGUACCUGACGCUCAGGGGCGAAAGCUAGGGGAGCGAACGGG
rnacentral:rRNA from 1 species